AUUGAACGCUGGCGGCAUGCCUUACACAUGCAAGUCGAACGGCAGCGCGGACUUCGGUCUGGCGGCGAGUGGCGAACGGGUGAGUAAUGUAUCGGAACGUACCAUUCAGUGGGGGAUAACGCAGCGAAAGUUGCGCUAAUACCGCAUAUUCUGUGCGCAGGAAAGCAGGGGAUCGCAAGACCUUGCGCUGAUUGAGCGGCCGAUAUCAGAUUAGCUAGUUGGUGAGGUAAAGGCUCACCAAGGCGACGAUCUGUAGCGGGUCUGAGAGGAUGAUCCGCCACACUGGAACUGAGACACGGUCCAGACUCCUACGGGAGGCAGCAGUGGGGAAUUUUGGACAAUGGGCGCAAGCCUGAUCCAGCCAUGCCGCGUGAGUGAAGAAGGCCUUCGGGUUGUAAAGCUCUUUCGGCCGGGAAGAAGUCGUAUGGGUUAAUACCCUGUGCGGAUGACGGUACCGGCAUAAGAAGCACCGGCUAACUACGUGCCAGCCGCCGCGGUAAAAC
rnacentral:rRNA from 1 species